UUCUGAAAGACCAAUGCAAUGGGCUCCGGUCACAGCUUGACCACAUCACUGAGCAAGCCUGGCCCUGCCUCUUUCUCUCCAAGCCUGUUAUCCCGAGUGGAUGCCACAGUCCUUAAGCAGCAGUAGCCAUGCAUGCAGGCCCCCUGUGUCUUUCCUCUUAAGACCCUUACUUACCAUUUCUAAAUAUAAUGUUUGUUUUUUUAUCUGAGAGAAUAUUAUUUAUCUGCUAAGUGUUUUGGCCACUGAGGUCAUAUUUACAAACUAGUCACUUAACCUGCACGAACAAGUAUCAUCAAUGUUGUGUAAGGCUGGGGGUCACCUGACUAAACAGUGAAUAAGAGAAAUGCUGCAUCUGUCCAUCAGGAUAAAUACAUGUGGUCAGUGUCUGUCUUUGACUCAACAUGUGCAGAGCAGCACUAAGAUGGGCAGAAGCAUUUUUUUUUCCUUUGGGGUUAACAUCUAUACAAUCAGGGAGGGAGAGAACGCAGUGACAUCUCAGUAGUCACAUGACCCCAGUCAUAUCAAGUAACCAUUAUCACAUCAGAACCCACAGGAGUUAUAAAUACACCACCAUGGGGCUCCAGCCGGAGGACAAUUGAGUAAUGACAAUGGAAAUAGCCCACUCUCCGUAAGGCCUUCUUCCUCUGCUAAAGAACCCGUCCUGAAAUCAGUUGUUCUGCAAUGGAGAGGCAACCAGACCCAGCUGGAAGAAAACUGCAAAUCUUCCAGAAGAUGAACAGAGAGCCUCAGGGCAGAGCUUGGACUCCCAAGCUUGAGUUCCAUGCUGCAUUGGUUGCAGGAGACCUGGACCAUAUUCAGUCCCUCAUGGACCAGUUCUUCCAGGAUGCCAACAUGGUGUUUGAGAUCACUAAUGGAGAGAUGGAGUGGCAGGUGACAUCCUUGGCCACUUUUGGGCUCUCAGGCCUCUGGACCCUGGAGUACAAGCGGGAGCUCACCACACCGCUGUGCAUCGCGGCAGCCCACGGCCACGUGUUCUGCGUGCGACACCUUCUCAGUCACAGCGCCGAUCCGGAUGCCAGGCCCGGAGGUCGCGGUGCCCUACACGAGGCCUGUCUCGGGGGCCAUACCGCCUGCACCCAGCUGCUGCUGCAGCACGGGGCAGACCCAGAUUUGCUCAGCGCGGAGGGCCUGGCACCCCUGCACCUAUGCCGCACACCCGCCUCUCUGGGGUGCGCGCAGGCGCUGCUGGAGCACGGCGCGACAGUACAGCUGGAGUGCGGCCCUGGCCUGGACACACCGCUGCACGUGGCGGCCCAGUACGGCCUGGACGAGCACGCGCAACUCUACCUGGGCCGCGGCGCGCGCGUGGACGCGAGGAACGGUCGCGGCGAGACAGCCUUGAGCGCGGCGUGCGGAGCGGCGACGCGGAGCCCUGACGAGCACGCGCGCUGCCUGCGGCUGUGCGCGCUCCUGCUGCGCGGCGGCGCGGCGGCAGACGCGCGCGACGAGGACGAGCGCAGCCCGCUGCACAAGGCCUGCGGCCGCGCGCGCCCCAGCCUGUGCACGCUCCUGCUGCUGCACGGCGCCGACGCGGGCGCGCUCGACUACGGUGGAGCGUCGCCGCUGGCGCGCGCGCUGCAGACGGCCACGUGCGCGCCCCCGGCAGCGCCGCAGCGCAUGGUGCAAGCUCUACUCAACCACGGAUCCCCCUUGGUGUGGCCCGACGCCUUCCCCAAGGUGCUGAGGACCUGUGCUCAGGUGCCCGCUGUCAUUGAAGUUCUGUUCAACUCCUACACUCACCUCCGAGUUUCUGAGUCUUGGCAGGAGGUGAUUCCUGAAGACGUAUACCAGAUGCACGAGCCUUUCUACCGGUCUCUCUUCGCCUUGGCGCACACCCCACGCUGCCUGAGGCACCUUUCCCGCUGCGCCAUCCGAAGGCUCUUAGGCAAGAAGUGUUUUCUCCUUGUGCCCCAGCUACCCCUCCCUGAGACCCUGCAAACUUAUCUGCUUCUGGAGCCAGAGGGUGUUCUACAUUGAAACCACAGCCUUGGAGCUCGGGUUCUUCCCUGCACCUUUGUCCGGCUGCAGACGGACCCCAGCCCAAGGGAUGGUACUCACGUUUAGCCUGAGCCUUCCCACCUCACCUCAAUCUAGAAACUCCCUCACAGACACGUCCAGGUGAUGCUAGAACUUGACAAUAUCUGGCAGUGGGGCCACUGGGCCAGAUAGCAGCUCUGCCUACAGCUUUUGUUUCCUGAGAGAUCUUCAGCGGGCUUCCCUCCAGAGCUACAUCCUUCUACACUCCCACAACACAAAAAGCUACCAAUGUCGACUGCCGGCGCCCUCACAAAUGUUUGCGAUUUUCAGCCUGGUUUGGCUGUGGGUUUUGCUAUGUCUUCUGACACCUGUCCACUUAUUUAACUAAGCACCCUGAAAGUCUGCUGGAGGCAGAGCUCGGAGCCUGGGCUCCGGAUGCAUCAUCAUCCAGAAAGACUCAAUGUUUACCCUGCUUCCCACGGACCUCAUAAAAUAAAGCAGGUCAACUUGUCCCAGAUCAUCAGUUCUCAAUCUGUGGAUCUCAACCCUCUUGGGGGUCAAAGAAUCCUUUCACGGAGGUCACUGAAGACAUGGGGGAAAAACAGAUAUUUGCAUUAUGAUUCAUAGCAGUAGCAAAAUUACAGUUAUGAAGUAGCAACAAAAAUAAUUUUAUGGUUGGGGGUCACCACAGCAAGCGGAGCUGUAUUAAAGGGUCACAGGAUAAGAAAGGCUGAGCACCACUCUCCUAGAUUUUUCUGGAGUCACUCAGGCAGGGCAAGAGGAGCUUGGAGAGGAAGAUCCCCCGAUGCUCUACUCCCUCCAGUUACCCCUCUUUCUGUUGAACGAGGGCUACCACAUUUUUGGUGUGCAGGAACUUGGC